UAAGCAUAUCAAUAAGCGGAGGAAAAGAAACCAACAGGGAUUGCCCCAGUAACGGCGAGUGAAGCGGCAACAGCUCAAAUUUGAAAUCUGGCGCCCUCGGCGCCCGAGUUGUAAUUUGCAGAGGAUGCCUCGGUGCCCGCCCGGUCUAAGUCCACUGGAACGUGGCGCCUUUGAGGGUAAGAGCCCCGUUCGCGACCGGGACCGGCCACCGUGUGAGGCUCCUUCGACGAGUCGAGUUGUUUGGGAAUGCAGCUCUAAAUGGGAGGUAAAUUUCUUCUAAAGCUAAAUACCGGCCAGAGACCGAUAGCGCACAAGUAGAGUGAUCGAAAGAUGAAAAGCACUUUGAAAAGAGAGUUAAAAAGUACGUGAAAUUGUUGAAAGGGAAGCGCCUGCGACCAGACUCACCGCGGAGGCUCAGCCUGUCUUCUGACUGGUGUAUCCCCCGCGGCGAGGCCAGCAUCGGUUUGGGCGGCUGGGGAAGCGGCCGGGGAACGUAGCUCCUCUCGGGGAGUGUUAUAGCCCCGGUCCCGAUACAGCCCGCCCGGACCGAGGACCGCGUUCGCUAGGAUGCUGGCGUAAUGGUCGUCGGCGGCCCGUCUUGAAACACGGACCAAGGAGUCUAAUAUCUGUGCGAGU
rnacentral:rRNA from 1 species